rnacentral:piRNA from 1 species
UUCUAAGCAUAGGUUUGGGUGUCAGCCAU